ACUCUCCAGACUGGUGACUUCAGCUUUUGACUCUUUGGGUCGGACGUUCGUGGAGAACCUCAAGCAGCCGAGUGUCGACCGGGUCGACGAGGUGCUACAACUGACGGCCGAACCAAGUUGGAUGGACCCGAUCGUUCGGUAUUUGACCGACGGGAUCAGCCCCGAGGAUCCCACGGAGGCCAAGCGGCUCCGAUGGUCGGCCUCCCAAUAUGUGAUCAUGGA
rnacentral:lncRNA from 1 species